rnacentral:tRNA from 4 species
GGGCUAUUAGCUCAGUUGGUUAGAGCGCACGCUUGAUAAGCGUGAGGUCCCUGGUUCGAGCCCAGGAUGGCCCA